UUCAUAUUUAAAAGAAAAGGCCCAAAUAUGACAAAUGACUUUAAAGAAUUCUCCAAUCAGCCAAUCCCCAUUUUUCUAGCUAGCGGAGCUUAAGAACCCAAAUCAACUGUCGAUUGCUCUAUAAAUUUUGACGGAGCCAACACAAACAACCGCGCCACCUAGCCUGGUGCUAGUUCCGCCACUUAUUACGAACACUAGGAGCUAAGUAGGGGAAUAAUUGGCGGACAUGGAAUGUGCAGAUCAUAGAUAUUUCAUCUCAAAAGCUGCAGGGAAUACUAGGGGAAGGUUCCAAUCUGGGAAGGGUUCUAGAUUCAGAAAUGAGGGAGUGAUAGGAAGAGGAGCUGGAGGCAGAGGUUAUGGUCGUGGAGAUUUUAACGCCAGGAAUGAGUUCGCAUGUGGAGGUGGUAGUCGAGGAGUGAUGGAUAUCAGAGGGCUGACAACAUCAACGGCAAUGUUUCUUUUUUUUUUUCUUUUUUUUUUUUUAUCGAGGUGUCCCAACUUGCGCCAGACUAUAUCCUCGUCCCUAAACCUCCGGCCCCUCAGCUGCUCAGGGAGGUAAAUCACAGGAUGUGUCCUUGUUGAUUCCCAGGUUCCCACAUGACUUUUACUCCGUCUCCAAAGGAAGCCUCCUCCAUGGUGAUUAAUCCACCAAUAAUUCCUCAUUUAUUGGAUCAAAGGUUCCCACCAAAAAUCGAACUCCCCACGCUUGGUUCCAGAACCCCCCAAUGUGAUUGUUCCGCCAACUUGGAUGUGCCCUGGGGGCACAUCAACGGCAAUGUUGACCGUAUGAGCGGCCGUGCUGAUAGAAAAUGGUCAAUGAGGCUGCAAAAAUUGUGGCACCUUGGGUUUCUGCUGCUUGAGAACAAUAGUUAAAGAAGGGGCAAUUGGUUUUUGUAGGCUUUUCCUUUUAAAUUAUGGUAAGUUUUAAGUGUUUGGACAUCCAGCGGGUAGACAGUUUCAUGGACUGAAUUUUUUAUAGGGUUUACAAUUUUCUUGGCUGUUGGUUUUAUAUUGUGAUGCAAUUUGAUGUCCCGGAGUUGUAAUUCUUCCUAUAUCAUUUUUGGGCCAUUUAUUCCAUAUUCAUUCUUAUUUGAUUAGUGAAAGUGUUGCUGGGUGAAUGAUUGCACUAGUUUCUCUAGAUGUUAGUCAUAUUAACUAAGGCUCAGCAAAAUGGCCAUGUAACGGUGUUUGGUUUCCAACCCAAGCAUCUUUCGAGGAGUUUGGAAUGGACGACAAUGGCUGUGACGGACUUAGCAAUAGUGACC
rnacentral:lncRNA from 1 species